rnacentral:misc_RNA from 1 species
CCUGCCUGACCCGACCAUGCGGCAGUAGUAGCAGCAGCUGUCAAUGUUAUCGCAGUCAACGUCUCUGUCACAGUUGGCGUCGCAGUCGCUCUGGCCACGCGUAACUUUAUUUUUAGUUGUGCAUUGGAAGUGCCAUGGGAAAGUGCUGCUACGGCAACAACAACAUGGCGAAUUUGUAACAUUGUUAUUGGAAAUAUGUGUGUAGGCUACCAGCACGAGGAGCAACAACAACAAUGAAAGCAAUAACAACAAGAGCCGAAGGGUAGGCGCUAAAGGAAAGCGAAAACGUAAAGCAAAAUUCCAUUGAGGUUUUUUUUAAAUCGAAACGAAAUUAGUUUUCGAUGAACUUUAAAGGCGAGUAAACAGCCGUUGCGGCUGCACGUGUCGCAAAAUCCAAAUUACAAAAGGCUAACCAAAUAAAUAGUGAAAAACAUCGCAAAUACAUUGAAGAAAAAAAAAACGAAACGGAUCCCGUGACACGCGGCAAAUGCUGCGAGCAAUCGAAAGUGAAACUUUACGAGUAUCUCACGUUAAAUUUAAGGCGAAGGUUGAGCCCAACGCAACCUUGAAGCGAAUUUGUGAAAGUGAAGCAAUAUUAAAGAAUAAAUUUAAUAAAAAUAAAUAAAUAAAUAAAUAACAAAAAAAUUGCAAAUAAAACGUGCGUGCUCGCUAAAUUACGCUUGCAUCUGGCAUUGAGUGAUAUAUAAUUAAAAGCUUGUUUGCUGAAGGUUAAACGUGUCACACACAAAGGAAAUCUACUUUAAAUAAUAUAAUUAAUAUUUCGUCGGGCACAUAAAGGUUGCAGAGAAAACUAAAUUAUUAGUGUAUAAAAUUUGGCUUUAAUUAAUGCAUACAAAGAGGUAAACAAAUGGCUCAAAUUCAAGAAUAAAUACAUAAAUAAAAAGAGCUGCAAAUAUAACAGAAUAUUUAAUUGCUAUUUAUUGCAAUAAAACCAUAAAAUUGCUGCCAAAUUUGGGGCCACGAAAGUGCCUUCAAAAUGAAAUCGAAUCAAGUCAUGAAUCAAAUCUUGGCCAGCCUUAAACUGCGCAAAUUGUGGCGCCCAUUCGACGCGUUUGCCUCCCACACAAACACAGAAAAUCAACGCACACACACACGUGCAUACAUAUACAUUUGCAGCUGGCCGUUUCCUUGCGUGGGCCAAAGCAGAAUCUAAGGAAAUUAUUCUUAUGCCAAUUAUUGUUUUCUUUUCUUUUUUUUUUUUGUUAUUUAUUGUUUUUCUUUUUUUGUGUUUUCUUUUGGUUUGCUGAGUGUCGAGGAGCCCAGGUGAAAGCAAAAUAUACGAAAAUUUACGAUUUGUUUACUGUAUACAGCCACGCGAUUACCAAGCCAGCUCUCCCCUGACUACCUGUAUACCUGCCUCCCUCUCUGUCCGACUCCCGCUCCCACUCCCACUGUGCGUGUGUGUGGACAUGCUAAAACAUGUUUUACAAUCUGUUUUGCUAAUCAAGCGACGUGACUAAAGCAAAUAAAUAUGCGAAAAUAAACAGCAAAUAAAAUCAAAAGUAAAUCUACUAAAAUAUCGAGUCAAGUGUUGUGCUAAUUACAAAAAUUAAUUAAUAAAUCAAAUGAAGUUAUUUAUUUAAUAAAAAAAUAUUAUUACUUCAACAUAUCACCGAUCUAUAAUAAAUACUACAAUUAAAAAAUCUGAGCAUAUCUCUGACUAACUAAUUUCAAUCAAAUCAAAGCAAGCACCCGGCGUUGAGGCUCUAGAGCUGCACCGCGAUAAGCCGAGCGUGCUGAUCACCUCGCCCGGCUCUCCGGAUCUCCAC